rnacentral:rRNA from 1 species
AGAGAUGGAUUGGUGGCCUUCGGGAACUCUGACACAGGUGCUGCAUGGCUGUCGUCAGCUCGUGCGUGAGAUGUUGGGUUAAGUCCGUAACGAGCGCAACCCUUGUCCUUAGUUACCAGCACGUUAUGGUGGGCACUCUAAGGAGACUGCCGGUGACAAACCGGAGGAAGGUGGGGAUGACGUCAAGUCAUCAUGGCCCUUACGGCCUGGGCUACACACGUGCUACAAUGGUCGGUACAAAGGGUUGCCAAGCCGCGAGGUGGAGCUAAUCCCAUAAAACCGAUCGUAGUCCGGAUCGCAGUCUGCAACUCGACUGCGUGAAGUCGGAAUCGCUAGUAAUCGUGAAUCAGAAUGUCACGGUGAAUACGUUCCCGGGCCUU